UGGACCCAACUAUAUCGGCGAGGCUUCCAUAUGAAUACUGGACACGAUCCCAAUACUGCCCUGUGUGGAAGCUUUUGCCUGCUGUGUUUCCA